CGUGUAGGCGGCCAACUAAGUCGGAUGUGAAAGACCUCGGCUCAACCGAGGAACUGCAUUCGAUACUGGUUGGCUAGAGUGCGAGAGGGGCAAGUGGAACUCCAGGUGUAGCGGUGAAAUGCGUAGAUAUCUGGAGGAACGCCGGUGGCGAAAGCGACUUGCUGGCUCGCAACUGACGCUGAGGCGCGAAAGCUAGGGUAGCGAACAGGAUUAGAUACCCUGGUAGUCC
rnacentral:rRNA from 1 species